rfam:Peptoniphilus lacrimalis 315-B contig00034, whole genome shotgun sequence.
GUAGGAAUGCUGGAAUUGGCAGACAGGCAUGUCUCAGAAGCAUGUGCAAUUUUGCGUGGGGGUUCAAGUCCCCUUUCCUGCA